rfam:Schistosoma mattheei strain Denwood, Zambia genome assembly, scaffold: SMTD_scaffold0001066
AUACAGCUGAUGAGUCUCGAAUGGGAUGAAACGCGUGUCCUGUAU